rnacentral:rRNA from 1 species
UACAGAGGUCCCAAGCGUUGUUCGGAUUCACUGGGCGUAAAGGGUGCGUAGGCGGUCGGGUAAGUCUGAUGUGAAAUCUCACAGCUUAACUGUGAAACUGCAUUGGAUACUAUCCGGCUCGAGGAAUGGAGGGGAGACUGGAAUACUUGGUGUAGCAGUGAAAUGCGUAGAUAUCAAGUGGAACACCAGUGGCGAAGGCGGCCUGCUGGGCAGUUACUGACACUGAUGCGCGACAGCGUGGGGAGCAAACAGG